CAAGAGCAAGGGUCUGUCCCUCCCUGUACUCCAGUCUCUCCACUGUACAAUAGGAGCACUUUAGCAGGGCAUUCCCUGAGACAUCUGUGAGAGGAUUUCUUUUCAUCGUUAGAACCCACUGACCUUUCCAUUUCCUUUUCCUCCUCCUUCCCUCUGUCCAGCUUUUGCUGUGUGGCAGGCCUGUGCUGGCCACUGGGCUUCAGGCUCCUCUUGGAGGGGAGGAGGUCCCGGAGGGGCAGGGCAGGGCAAGCCCUCUCUUGGCAGUAGCUGCUGUGGGAUGAAUACCUUCUCCUCCGUCACCCCCAGUGAUUCUGGUUAUCUGAUUGCCCAGUCGUGCUGAGGGCUUCCUGCUAGCCAGAAUCUCAGUCCCUGCCUGACUGCCAUUGAACAUCUUUCCAGCACCGACCCUGCAUAUGCCCUGCCUAGGGAGGCACCCAGGCUGAAAGGACAUGGGGGUGAGGGGGUGAGGGCAGCCAUAGUUCCGUUCACCAUGCUGACCUCUAUUGACCCCUCUUUCUCCUCAGCUGCCUUCCCUGGAGGCCAAAGCUUCGGUGGAGAUGCGGGCGGGGGCCAGUUGGCUGUUUUCAGGGGCCCUGGUUGGGGCGCUAGGAGAGCUGGCUCUAGUGUGGACCUCUUCCGCUGAUUUGCUCUGUGAUAGCAGCUCCAGGAGAGAAACCUCACUGCAAUUGAUUUAAACACAAGAACUGCUAACUGGCUGUUCCUCUGCAGGAGACAUCAGGGUGGCCGGUGACCUGAAGCCCAGCCCAGCUGCAGUGAGAAGCCCAGGCUGGGCUACUGAAUGAUGGGUUUGGUGCAGAGAGAGGCCUGCCGUCCUCACCCAACCCAGUCCUGGCUGACCCACCCGUCACAUGAAGCCACACGAGUCAGCUCAGUGAAGUCGGCUGGACGUCCCAGCCAGACCCAGGAGCAGAAGAACCCAUCAUCGUUUCAAGCCACUAAGUCCUGCCUGCUUUAUUGUGUAGCAGUGGAGACAUGAAGCAGCCAGGCUUAAAGAGUGAAAAGGUUAACAAUAUGCAUUAAUUUGAAUUUGUCCAAUGUCAUUUCUCAGUCUGAGAGGCGGGCAACCCCCUCUUAGAUCCCUGAGGUUCUGACCUUCAGAGUCCCUGUAAUGUCACCAGUGAUCUGGGAGCAGCAUGGGGUCCAUGAUGGUCUGUCAUCCACUACUGCAUCCCCAGUAACACAUCAAUGCAGAGGACACCUACUACUCCUCUAGACUGCCACACAAAUGCCAAGCCCCUGCUUUCAUACCCCAGGACAGUUUCUUCCAUUACUGAGUGACUCUGUCUGGAAGAGAAUACUCCUCCCAUGAGAACAAAGACCCACAUCAUUCCCUCUGGGACCCAGAUUCUCUCCCUGAGGUCCCCUCUCCUAUCCCACAGCCCUGAGUGCAUCACAGUUGUCCCUAGCAUUUGCAAAGCAGCACAAUCUCACUCGAUAGCAAGUUUUUUCAUGUACCUGUGCCCAGGCCUUAUGGGAAGUGUGUCCACCAGGGUCUAAACCAGCUCCAGCUCCGUGACCACCGUUAGGGGCUUUGGCACCAACCCAGCCUCUGUGCGGAAGACACUCCUGUCUUAGCCUCAGUUUUCUCACCUGGAAAACAGAAGUGAAAUUUACUGCCCGGGGUUGCCACUGGGCCUAAAGGGGAGAUGAUGGAUGUGGAGAGUCGGGGAUAGAAUUGGUCCUUGAUAAAGGUUAGUUCCUCUUCUGCCAGGUAUAUAAACUGUUCCAGAUGGAAAGCUCAUCUAUGCUUAGCAUUCAUGUCUGUAUAAAUAAUGUGCAGGUGGGGGAGGAACCGUCAGGUGGCCUGGGCAGGGGGGGAUUCCCAUCAGGGAGAGCAGGGGGAGCAAAGACUAGAGAAAACCGUGUGCUAGGGAAGGGCCAGCGAGCAGUGGGUGGUUAGGAGCUGCCAGUGCUUGAAGAGUGACAGGAGGGAAAAGGGAGGACCAGCCCUGCCGUGGGCUGCCAAGGGAGACAAGGAGAGGUCAGGAGGGGGAGGGGCAAGGUCAGAGGCGGGACUCCAGUCUGGGGCAGGUCUGGGGCUUCACUGGGAGGUGAGGCCA